GGCUCCAUAGUUCAGGGGUUAGAGCACUGGUCUCAUAAACCAGGGGUCGGGUCAUGAGUUCGAAUCUCACCAGGCCUU
rnacentral:tRNA from 1 species